AUGUGCCGCUCGCGCCGAUUCAUGCGCGCCGACCGCGCCCACACCCGACACUGCUCGCUACGGUUUGUCGGCC
rnacentral:sRNA from 1 species